GAUGAAGAACGCAGCGAAAUGCGAUACGUAAUGUGAAUUGCAAAUUCAGUGAAUCAUCGAGUCUUUGAACGCACAUUGCGCCCCCUGGUAUUCCGGGGGGCAUGCCUGUCCGAGCGUCAUUACUGCCCUCAAGCCCGGCUUGUGUGUUGGGCCCCGUCCUCCGAUCCCGGGGGACGGGCCCGAAAGGCAGCGGCGGCACCGCGUCCGGUCCUCGAGCGUAUGGGGCUUUGUCACCCGCUCUGUAGGCCCGGCCGGCGCUUGCCGAUCAACCCCAAUUUUUUAUAGGUUGACCUCGGAUCAGGUAGGGAUACCCGCUGAACUUAAGCAUAUCAAUAAGCGGAGGA
rnacentral:misc_RNA from 1 species